UAAGAAGAAGAGUAUGGCUAUCCCACUAGCGUUGUUUUUAUCGAUAGUUGUGUCAGUCUGCUGAUUUCAGCUCCAUCACGGAGGUUCUCUCUGAUUGUGGGCUCAUCUAAAGCUGAGUAACAAGUCUGGUGGAGAAGCAGAGGAACAAUUUCAGCCAUUUGGACUCAGCUCAGCCACUACAGAGGAAACAAUGACUUCAACACAAAAGGUACACGCGAUGUUGACCAGCUGGCGUUUAGGAGUCAUGUAAGAGCGAAUUCCAGCUGGGGUCCACCGUGCUUCAACAUUUCGGGGAGGACCUCAUCCAAGCCAGGGGCCUUUCCACUCUUGAGGACUCAGAUCAUUGUCUUGACUUCGGUAACACAGAUUUGUCCAAUAUCGACUGGAAAAAGCUCCAUGGAGGGUGGCAGGUCUUCAGCCACCUGGUCCUGAACCGACUUCGCCAAACUACAUUCAUCAAUGGGGUCCCAUGAAUGGUGGGAGGUACGAGUCGUAUUCAUGUUAAAGCUGGGCCAGUUUACCAGUUUGUAACGGAGUCUGUACAUUCCAUAUUCCAUAACGGGUAGUUUCUUUUGGGUCGAAAUUUGAUUGACGCAUCGAGCAGGUAACGACCUGAGGGCUUUCCUCCACUGCUGUCAUCAAGGGUUGCCGAUCAUCUUCGCCCUGGUUCAAUCGAUGAUGAGAUUCGUUUGCUCUUUCCAUAGCAAUCGAGGUUUUAAAAGGCGGGGUUGCUAACCCCAUGCCCAACCCUCCUCCUUUCUCAUCCGGCCUUGGGACCGGCAAUGGCAAGUUUUUAUCAGCACACAAUAUCAUCAGCUAACUCACAAUUUUUCAUACAGUCAUUUUCUCCAGUGAUCAGUACUUCUUUUAUUAUGUCAUUUUCCUUACAACUCCCAUUGUAGCACAUCUUUGUAAUGUGAUACUAUCACCAGAAUGUGGUGGUAACACACCUACAACAUGUUUGUUGACAUCUUUGAUUCCACUAAUGGAGUUUCAGU